rnacentral:lncRNA from 1 species
ACCAAAUGCAAUAAAUAAAUCUUGAUUGGAUUCUGGUUCAGUUAGUUGAAAACUAUAAGUUUUUUUAGGAUAUUUGGAGAAAUUGAAUAUGGACUGGUAGUAAACUACAUUAUGGAAUCUUGAUUAAUUUUAGGAGUAUUAAUGACAUGAUGAUUAAGUAGAAGAAUGUCCUUCUUUUAUAUUAUUUAUUUAUUUAUUUUUAGUUGUCAGUGGACUUUAUUUUAUUUAUUUAUAUGUGGUGCUGAGAAUCUAACGUAAUGUCUCACACAUGCCAGGCAAGUGUUCUACUACUGAGCCACAACCCUAGUCCUGUCCUUCUUUUAUAUAUUUGUAUUUAUUUGUUUUCAGGGAUUGAACCUAGGGAUGCUUAACCAUGGAUGUAUAUCCCAGCCCUUUUUUAUUUUGAGACAGGUUCUCACUAAGUUGCUUAGGGUCUUAUUAAGUUGCUGAGGCUGGCUUUGAACUUGUGAUCCUCCUGCCUCAGCCUCCCAAGCUCCUGGGAUUACAGGCAGGUGCCACCAUGCCCAGCCAAUGUCCUUAUUUUUAGGAGUUGUAUGCCAAAGAAUUUGAUGAAAAAAUAUGGGCAACUUACUUUGAAAUAGUUCAACACAACAAAAAAAUGUGUUUUGUGUGUGUGUGUGUGUGUGUGUGUGUGUUUGCAACCAGAGUGCAAGAGAGAAUGAGAGAGACCACAAAUAAAGCAAUAUUUGUUAACAAUUGUUCUUUUUUAGGAGAGGUACUAGGGAUUGAACUCAGGGGCACCGGAACACUGAGCCACAUCCCCAGCAUUAUUUUAUUUUAUUUAGAGACAGAGUCUCACUGAGUUGCUUAGAACUCAAUGGCAGGGCUGUAUAGGUGUUUACUGAAACAUAUAUACACACAUGUGAAUGUGUGUGUGUGUGUGUGUGUGUAUGAAAAAACAUGAAAAAUAUAUUAUGAAAUUGUUCACAGUACAAAUUUAAGAGAGAAGAGCAUAUGGUGAAGAUUUCUCCCAUUCUGUAGACUCUUUCUUCACAUUAUUGUUUCCUUUGCUGAGAAGAAGAAGCUUAUGAUUUUUGUUUACUUUUUGCACUUUAGGAGCAUUGUCAAGGAAGUCAGAUCCUAGGCCAACACAGAGAAGAUUUGAGCCACAUUUUCUUCUAUUAGGCACAGGUUCUCUGUUCUAAUACCUAAGUCUUUGAUCCACUUUGAGUUAAGUUUCAUGCAGGAUGAGAUAAGGGUUUAAUUUCAAUUUUUUUACAGGUGGACUUCCAAUUUUCCCAGCACCAUUUGUGGAUUAGGUUGUCUUUUCUACAGUGAAUGUUUUUUGUGUCUUUGUCUAGUAUGAGAUAACUGUAUUUAUGUGGGUUUCUCUGUGUGUCUUCUAUUCUGUACCAUUGGUCUACAUGUCUGUUUUGUUGCCAAUACCGUACCGUUUUUGUUACUGUGGCUCUGUGGUAUAGUGUAAGGUCUGGUAUUGUGAUACCUCCUGCUUCACUCUUCUUGUUAAGGAUUGCUUUGGCUAUUCUGGGUCUCUUAUUUUUCCAAAUGAAUUUCAUGAUUGCUGUUUCUAGUUCUAUGAAGAAUGAUAGAUGGUUAAUCUCCAGGAUAUAUAAAGAACUCAAAAAAACUCAACACCAAAACAAACAAACAAACAAAACCAAAAAAACAAAAAAUGAAUAAUCCAAUCAAUAAAUGGGCUAAGGAACUGAACAGGCACUUCACAGAAGAAGAAAUACACUUGAUCAACAAAUAUAUGAAAAAAAUGUUCAACAUCUCUAGCAUUUAGAGAAAAGCAAAUCAAAACUGCUCUAAGGACUGGGGAUGUGGCUCAAAAGGUAGCGCGCUCACCUCGCAUAUGUGAGAUCCUGGGUUCCAUCCUCAGCACCACAUAAAAAAAUAAAUAAGUGAAAUAGAGGCAUGCUGUCUAUCUACAACUAAAAAAUAAAUAUUUUCUUUUUUUUUUAAAAAAAGACUACUCUAAGAUUUCAUCUCACUCCAUUCAAAAUGGCAAUUAUUAAGGAUAUAAGCAACAAUAAAUGUUGGCAAGGAUGUGGGAAAAAGGUUCACAUACAUUUCUGGUGAGACUGCAAAUUGGUGCAACCAUUAUUGGAAGCGGUAUGGAGAUUCCUCAGAAAACUUGGAAUGGAACCACCGUUUGACCCAGCUAGCCCACUCCUUGGUUUAUACCCAAAGGACUUAAAAUUUGCAUACUACAGUGAUGCGGCCACAUCACUGUUUAUAGCAGCUCAACUUCUAAUAGCUAAUCUAUGAAACCAACCUUGGUGGCCUUCAACAGAUGAAUGGACAAAAUAUGGUAUAUAUACACAAUGAAGUAUUACUUAGCCUUAAAGAAGAAUGAAAAGAUGGCAUUUGGGGCUGAGGUUGUGGCUCAGUGCCAGAACGGCUGCCUCGCACAUGUGAGGCACUGGGUUCUAUCCUCAGCACCACAUAAAAAUAAAUAGAACAAAAUAAAAAUAUUGCAUUCAUCUAUAACUAAAAUAAUUUUUUUAAAAAAAGAUGGCAUUUGCUGGUAAAUGGAUGGAGCUGGAGAAUAUCAUGCUAAGCAAAAUAAGUCAGUCCCCCCAAAUCAAAGGCUAAUGUUUUCUCUGAUAUGGGGGUGCUAUUCACAAUGAGGGGGUGCUAGGGAAGAAUAGAAUUACUUUGGAUUAGACAGAGGGGAGGGAAGGGAGGAAAGGAAGGAUAGUAGAAUGAAUCUGACAUAUUACUCUAUGUACAUAUUUGACAAUACAACCGGUGUGAUUCUAAACAACCCGAAGAAGAAGAAAUUAUAUUCCAUUUGUGUAUGAUGUGUCAAAAUGCAUUCUACUGUCAUGUAUAACAUUAGAACAAAUAAAAAAAAGAAAAGAGCAAAGUUCUGUUAAGGCCUCCAAAAGAUGAGAUGAGAUCCAUCCAUAUUAGGGAAGCCUACUGAUUUAAGUAUUAAAACUAUCACAGAAACAUCUAAGAUGUGUGACCAAAUAGCUAAGUUGACACAUACAUUCCCUAGAAUACACAUGCAGAAGCCCUAGUCACUAAAGCCAUAUAAUGCAAACAAACAUAAAAAUGUUCAAAAGUUCUUUUAAAUUUGCAGAUAAAUCUAAUUUGUGACUAGGUUUAGUGGCACACAUCCUGUAAUUCAUGCUACUCUGAUUGCUGAGGCAGAAUUCCAAAUUUGAGGCCAGCCUGAGUAACGUAGUGAGACCCUGUCACAAAAUAAAAUAAGAUGUAAGUACUGGGGAUGUAGCUCUGAUACAGUGCUCACCCAGCAUCAUAUAGGACCCGGAUUCAAUCCCUAGUACCAAAACAAAGAAAAAUCCAGUUUGUAUGUAAUAAUUUAUAUUGCAGCUAAUUGAUUUUGUUAAAUUGCAGUCACAUUUUUAAAAAUAUUUCUUAG